rnacentral:rRNA from 1 species
GGGAGGAUAUUGGACAAUGGGCGCAAGCCUGAUCCAGCCAUGCCGCGUGUGUGAAGAAGGCCCUCGGGUUGUAAAGCACUUUCAGUGGGGAAGAAAGCCUGGUGGUUAAUACCCGUCAGGAAGGACAUCACCCACAGAAGAAGCACCGGCUAACUCCGUGCCAGCAGCCGCGGUAAUACGGAGGGUGCGAGCGUUAAUCGGAAUUACUGGGCGUAAAGCGCGCGUAGGUGGCUUGAUAAGCCGGUUGUGAAAGCCCGGCUGCAACCUGGGAACGGCAUCCGGAACUGUCAGGCUAGAGUGCAGGAGAGGAAGGUAGAAUUCCCGGUGUAGCGGUGAAAUUGCGUAGAGAUCGGGAGGAAUACCAGUGGCGAAGGCGGCCUUCUGGACUGACACUGACACUGAGGUGCGAAAAGCGUGGGUAGCAAACA